rnacentral:rRNA from 1 species
AUGCCUUGCCCUUGCCCAGUGCCUCGCCGCGGUCACCUCGACCGGCCGGUGCGCGAGGUGUUGUCCCGAUCGGCGGUUCGGUUGGUGGGCGCGGGCUGGAGCCGGCCGUCGCGCCGCUGGGUUGCAGCGCCUGACCGGCCGGCUUGGUCCCGGCCACCAGCCGCGCGCUGGCCCUGCCUGCCUGCCCCUACUAGCUAUCCUGUGCCCGGUCGUGUCAAACAAUUAUGUGCUGCUAUAAUUAAGCCCGUCCGGGAGACGAAAAGUAAUCGAGGCACGUACGUGCGUAUCGAGCCGGAUCCGGUCCGUGAAUUAGCGGAGACGACCGAGCCGGCCGAUUCGAUGGAUCCAGGUUCAUUUCCCGACUUUCUUCUUCUUCUUCUUCUUCUUCUUUGA